CUUCACUUACCUGGUCCAUCGGCUGUCACCAACGCCUCGCGCUGCAUUCCGGCAUCUGAAAGACAAAGGCUUACCUACUCUUCGUGCGCUCCGGAGGUCUUCACACUGCAUUCCGGCAUCUGAAAGACAAAAGCUUACCAACUCUUCGCACGCUCCGGAGGCCUUCGGCGCUGCAUCCCGCAUCUGAAAGACAAAACAAGGUGCGUUUAAAGACAUUGGGGAACUUUAAUACUCACGUGCCAUUACUCCUUUCCACAUCUAACCAGUGGGUAUUCCGGCACCCUGCAGCCGCUCCGAACUUGUACCUGCAAAAUAAAAAGACAGUUAGAGCGCAUCGUGAAGCAGGCAACAAGCGCUUAAUUACGUGCUUCCAGGCGCUUCUAUUCAUCACACGGGCUCCAUCUUCAACUCACUUCAGCCCGUCAUCCGCCAUCGCCGGAACCCUGCAAAACAAGAAACAUCAUUACUAAAGACUUUAAAGACAUUAGAAUUACUCGAAACUUACCGUUCGUGCAGUAAACUGAAGUCAAGAGGCCUGCUCCCCUUAUCCAGUGAAGAAACUGGUUACAGCACCCUGCCCCGAGGCAGAUGGAGAGCACGGCGUUCACUUACCUAAGGUGAGAGCGUUAACCUUUGGGGUUCUACAGGAGAAGAGAAAGGGAAGAAGAGAGAGACAUUCAAUAACCCAGUUCCUUAAUCCCAUAUUUUCUAUCUGCAGACAUCUUACCCUUCAAGUCAGACAUACAGUGCACAGAGGUCCAGCCCAAAGAGCCAGCCGUAUGUUACACAUCGCCUUUGAAGAUACGGUAUACGCCCAGUCAAGACUGGCGCCUCUACGGGAAUCAGGUGAGCGUUACAGUGAUCUCAACCUAGUCCCGAACUUUAAAUGGGUAAGAAGCCCGGCUCGCUGGCGUGGCGCCGGGCAUUGAAUGCAAGUGCCCAGUCGGCAACUUUUGGUAAGCAGAACUGGCACUGCAGGAUUAACCGAACGCCGGGUUAGCGCGCCUGAUGGCGACGCUCAUCAGACCCCAGAAAUGGUGUUGGUUGAUAUAGACAUCAUGAUGGUGGCCAUGGAAGUCGGAAUCCGCCAAGAGUGUGUAACAACUCGUCUGCCAUAUCAACCAGCCCUGAAAAUGGAUGGCACUGGAGCGUCGCGCCCAUACCAGGCUGGCGCUGAGAGCUGCAAGGGCUAAGUCGCGACGAGUAGGAGGGCCGCUGCUGUGUGCACAGAAGCCCAGGGCGAAGGCCCGGGUGGACCGGCAGGUGCAGAUCUUGGUAGAAGUAGCAAAUAUUCAAACGAGAACUUUGAAGGCUGAAGUUGAGAAGGGUUGCAUGUGAACAGCAGUUGAACAGGGGUCAAUCGGUCUGAAGAGAUGGGCGAAAACUGUUCAGAAGGGACGGGCAAUGGCCUCCGUUGCCCUCAGCCGAUCGAAGGGGAUUCUGGUUCCUAUCCCAGAACCCGGAGUGGCGUAGACGGGCGCCCUAGAAUGGGUUUGCCCCAAGAAAGGGGCCCAAGCCUUGGAAUGCUUUGCGGUUCCGGCGGCAUCUGAUGAGCUCUCGCAUAUACGCUGCAGGUCUGCAAGGCGAACAGCCUCUGGCAUGUUGGAGCAAUGUAGGUAAGGGGAGUCGAAAAGUCAGAUCCGUAAUUUCGGGAUAAGGAUUGGCACUAAGGGCUGGGUCGGUCAUGUUGGGUGCGCGCCAUUGCUGUGCGACGCGUCUUCCCUACAGGGGCGGCACUGACUCUGGAUGCGAGCUGGGCCCUUCCUGUGGAUCACCCCAGCUGCAGUGGGUGCUUCUCUCAUUCCCCCUCCUGGGGUUCGGGCUGGCAUUCUGCCUUGGCCGACACCUAGCAGCUGACUUAGAACUGGUGCGUACCAGGAGAAUCCAACUGUUUAAUAAAAACAAAGCAUUGCGAAGGCCUGCGGUGGGUUUUGACGCAAUGUGAUUUCUGCCCAGUGCUCUGAAUGUCAAAGUGAAGAAAUUCAAUGAAGCGUGGGUAAAUGGCGGGAGUAACUAUGACUCUUAAGGCACCCAAAUGCCUUGUCAUCUAAUUAGUGAUGUGCAUGAAUGAGAUUCCCACUGUCCCUACCUACUAUCUAGCAAAACCACAGCCAAAGGAACAGACUUGGCAGAAUCGGCAGGGAAAGGAAACCCAGUUGAGUUUGACUCUAGUCUGGCACUGUGAAAAGACAUGAGAGGUGUAGGUUAAGUGGGCGGCACUCGGGCUGCCAAUGAAAUACCACUACUCUUAUUGUUUUUCCACUUACCCAGUGAGGUCGGGGGCGAGCCCCGUGGGGCUCUCCCUUCUGGCUCCAAGCGCCUGCUGGGCACAACCCGCUCCGGGGACAGUGGCAGGUGGGGAGUUUGAUUGGGGUGGUACACCUGUCAAACGAUAACGCAGGUGUCCUAAGGCGAGCUCAGGGAGGACAGAAACCUCCCGCAGAGCAGAAAGGCAAAAGCUAGCUUGUUCUUGAUUUUCAGUGUGAAUACAGACCGUGAAACGAUCCUGCUGACAUUUUGGGUUUCAAGCAGGAGGUGUCAGAAAAGUUACCACAGGGAUAACUGGCUUGUUGCGUCCAAGUGUUCAUAGCGACGUCGCUUUUUGAUCCUUUUGUUGUCGACUUCCUAUCUUUGUGAAACAGAAUUCACCAAGGUUUGGAUUGUUCACCCACUAAUAAGGAACGGGAGGUGGUUUUAGACCGUCGUGAGACAGGUUAGUUUUACUCUAGUGAUUAUGUGUUGUUGCAAUAGUAAUCCUGCUCAGUAUGAGAGGGACCGCAGGUUCAGACAUUUGGUGUACAUGCUUGGCUGAGGAGCCAAUGCGGCGAAGUUACUAUCUGUGGGAUUAACGCCUCUAAGCCAGAAUACCCCCCCCCCGCCCUAGACCGUGAUACCGCAGUGCUGUCGACCAUUGUUGGCCUAGGAUAGCUGGCCUCGGGACCGGUGUGUAGAGCCGCUCGCCUCGGGACUCAAGUGUGGACAGAAGGGGGCCACCUCUCUCGACCAUAGUGCACUGC
rnacentral:rRNA from 1 species